UAGGGAAUCUUCGGCAAUGGACGGAAGUCUGACCGAGCAACGCCGCGUGAGUGAAGAAGGUUUUCGGAUCGUAAAACUCUGUUGCCAGGGAAGAAUGGUUGGGAGAGUAACUGCUCUUGACAUGACGGUACCUGAGAAGAAAGCCCCGGCUAACUACGUGCCAGCAGCCGCGGUAAUACGUAGGGGGCAAGCGUUGUCCGGAAUUAUUGGGCGUAAAGCGCGCGCAGGCGGUGAUUUAAGUCUGGUGUAUAACCCAAGGGCUCAACUCUUGGUGGCAUUGGAAACUGGAUGACUGGAGUGUAGGAGAGGAAAGUGGAAUUCCACGUGUAGCGGUGAAAUGCGUAGAGAUGUGGAGGAACACCAGUGGCGAAGGCGACUUUCUGGCCUAUAACUGACGCUGAGGCGCGAAAGCGUGGGGAGCAAACAGGAUUAGAUACCCGUGUAGUCC
rnacentral:rRNA from 1 species